rnacentral:rRNA from 1 species
GGGGGGGGGGGGGGGGGGGGGGGACGCAGGCGGGGGGGGGGGGGGGGGGGGGAGGGCGGGCGGGGGGGGGGGGGGAGUGGCGGGGGGGGGAGGGGGAGGUGGGAGGCUGCUUUGUCGUGGGGGCUGACGUGGGGACACUUACGCUACUACCGCAUACGGCGUAAGGGUGGGAGCAGGGGACCUUCGGAGCUUGCGCGAUCGAAUGAGCCGAUGUCGGAUUGGGUAGUUGGCGGGGUAACGGCCCACCAAGGCGACGAUCCGUUGCGGGGCUGAGAGGAUGAUCAGCCACACUGGAACUGAGACACGGUCCAGACUCCUACGGGAGGCAGCAGUGGGGAAUAUUGGACAAUGGGCGAAAGCCUGAUCCAGCCAUGCCGCGUGGGUGAAGAAGGCCUUCGGGUUGUAAAGCCCUUUUGUUGGGAAAGAAGAGCAGCAGGUUAAUACCCUGCUGUUCUGACGUUACCCAAAGAAUAAGCACCGGCUAACUUCGUG